AACGCACCUUGCGCUCUUGGGUAUUCCUAGGAGCAUGUCUGUUUGAGUGUCGCGAAAAUCUCUCAAGGCCCCCUCUUUUUGUUUGUUCGAGAAGAGCGUUUGAUGGGUUUUGGAUUGUGAUGGCUUUACUCUUUGUAAAUGGGGUAGCUGUCGAAAUUGAAGUUUGGAAAGGGUUCUUCUUUCAGAGCAACAGCUUGGAAAGCGUUGGCUUUUUGCGUAAUAAUUAUUUCGCAUAGAGCAUUGAGCGUUUUUGUUAGCCAGCAAGUAAAGACACCCUACAAAGAUCAGUGUAUACAUCAAUUUUGACCUCAAAUCAGGCAGGACUACCCGCUGAACUUAA
rnacentral:misc_RNA from 2 species